GCCCUGCCCUGCGCAGACUCCGUGAAGCACAGCUCUUUGGGUGGGGCCCGCAGGGCUCUGGUCGGUGGAGAGGAGGCUUCACACCGUUGAAGCAGAGGCCGGGGCACACAGAUCCAGAUCCUACCAGAAGGCUCCAUUCUAGUGAACUCUCAGCAGUUUAGUGUCACGUUUGUGCGUGAAGCGCAGCCUUAUUUCCUUCUCCGUCUAAACACAGUUGAAGUUGUUGUUGAUUGUUUUCCUUAACUGCUGGCAAAGGACCAGUGGACCAAUCUGACAAAGCCAUUCUGGUUCCAUUCCUCAGAUGUGCUGAGAGCAGUUUUAAAGCUAUGCAGAAAAGGGAGCUGUCCCCACACUGCCCUUCCUUCGUUGUAGAAUAUGGAGUCAAGCAAGUGUGAGACCCAGACCUCACAGUGUGUUCCUAGGCUGCGCCCUCCGGCCGCAGUGCAGAACUGUAGAAAUGCUUUGUGAUGCUGCUAUCGAUCUGCCAUGGUUUCUAUUUAUUCUUUUAUGGCAUGUAAUGGUGUUUGGUAAUAUUUUAAUGUAGAAUUUGAUUAUUUCAGCAAUAGUAAUUUUGAGAUAUUCUUUGAAUGAAAAGUGUCUUCGUUUCUAUGAUACAGGUCAUUUUCUAGUAUUUAACCAAUUAAGAUGCACUGCUUACUUUUCUGAGCACUAUUUAAUGAUGGGUAAGAACCCUGUUGGCUCAACCAGCUAGCGUAAGGACUCGCUGUGAAUAAUGCUGGCAGGCACGGUGGUCCCACCGGACAGUUGCUUAAGCUUUAAUGGGAACUCAAUCAAAGGCUCAUCGAUUUCUUUCUAGCUGAAGUUUUAGAAAAUUACUUAUUAAUUACUUACUUUGGUCUUAGUUUUUUAGCCUAAAGAACACUUUGAUUGGCUUAUGCUGAUCUCAACAUGCUUCCUGGACAAUGUUUCUGCUUCUCAGUUGAGUGUCUUCUCUUGUCUACCUAGUUAUGUGUGAAGUGUGCAGAAUUCAGGGAAGCUUAGUCUUUUUCAUACUAAGUUAGGGAUAGUUUCAUGAUAGUAUGUAAAUAUAGCAACCAAAAAUUAAUUGUUCACGUGUCAUCUAAGCAAGGUCAAGUUGUGAUGAGGUGAUGAAUGUUGCUGACAGUAGGAGGUGGUGGUCAGGGAGCCGCAGGGCUGUUCUCGUAAGGUGAACAUGCACGCCUGUAGGCGUGGUCACCCCGAGUGGUCUCAGUGGACAUGAGUAAACAGAUGGUUCAAAGCAUCUUCUUCCAGUAGGUGUGUGAGUUUCGCUGAUGCUUUCGAGUGUAUGUAGUAUUAUAUGAGGGCGAAGCAUGGGUACCCUAAAGAGUGCCUGCAGUCAGACCGGAUACUUUCACCCUUAAUCCCAGGAAUGACUAAGAUGAGCAGAAGGAGAACCUCUGAGAAGGAAGGCUUCCUCGGUGUAGAUGGAAACUUCUGAGUGCCGAAGGGAUGGAGGCGGGAGGCAGGUAAACCUGUUUCAGCUCCCAGAUUUACAUGCUCCAAGCAUUUACUCAAAAGUCAGAGGCCAGAAGUUCCAGAUCAGGACUCCUAGGAAGCUGGGCCCGAGUGAGCCCAGAGACCCGGGCCAAGCCUGACUGUAGGUGCGGUUGGCUGAGCCUGGCCAGAGUCCACUCCGUUGCCUUACUCCUCGUCCAGGCAUGCUGUCCAGAUGCUCUGCUAGCUGGCAUAGCUUGCAUGUUAACAGUGUCUUCCGGAACCUUCGUUAGACUGAGAGGGACAUUGGACAUGCUUCUCGCUAAGUUGGCAGAGUCCAGAAGACCUCAUUAGGCCAUUUGGUCCAUCUGUGUACACACCCACCCCUGCCCCAGGUGACCAUAGAGUCUGGGAAGAGUAGCCCAGAGUUCAACAUGCAGCAAGCAUGUCUAGGGUGUCACUAGUGAGUGACACUGCUCUUUGUUUUGUACUUAAUGUUAUGUCUUUGAAUGGGUGGACACCCCAGCUGACACCCCCACCCCGACCCCCAGUCCUCUCAGACUGCCUUGUUCCCCGUUGUUACCUCUCCGGGGCCCCACUUGACUUUGCGUGCUAAGUCUUACGUGACCAUCAGUAUCAGGAAAGGCGUUGUCCCCUGCAGGCUCCACACGAACUGUCACAGCUCGCCUGGGCAUUGGUGUUCAUUCCAAACCCAAGUCAAGGCCUUAGCCCAGGCUUGGCUUAGAUACCAAUGACCAGCAUGUGCAAGCAUUGGUUCUGUCUGUGGCCUGAAUCUUCUAUGGGAAUUAAUUAUAAAUGCCAUUGAAUCCACUAGUAAGUAAUCUUUUUAAACCAUGCAGCUUUAUUGCUCUCUUCCCCCAAAGAAUGUCCUUUGAAAUGUUCUCAGUUCAGGAGUAGAGGCCGUAACUGCCCUUCUAAUACCAAUAAUGCAGCCUGUGAAACUGACGGUGCCUAACUGCUCGUAAAGCAGAGCCAGCCAUCAUAUCACAGCUCAGAGGGAAGAGAAGGGCACAGGCGCGUGAGGAGGACCCUGCGAGUCAGGCACUGAGGGCUCACGGCCCAAGCCCGCUGUCCUCGGGCACACCUACUAAGGACCAUGUGUUUCUUCUGGCCUGCCUUUGUUUUCCUUCAGUUGUGUUGAGAGUGUGCACACUCUGGAACUAGCAGUGCCCACCCUGCUUUCAAGAAUCCAAAAUGCAGGGUCUGGGCAGAGCACCUCACAGUGGGCUUUGAAGCUGCUCACCAAGAGCAUUUCCUGGAGGACCAGGGCCUCAGGAGCCUGUGGGGUUAGGUGUAAGGUUGUUUUGUUGUUUUAUUUUUUUGUUUUUCAUUUCAAGUUUCAGCAGGAGAGCUGUGCAAUGUUUCCCUCGGAUUCCGAUUUGACAUCACUCUUUCAAACACUGCAAUGCAAUACAUAUCACUUUGAAGUGGGAGAAAAUGCAAAGUUGUGUUUCCCUUUUAUCUGUGAAUCCUUAGAGCGUGUUGUUGGUGUGCGUGCGGAGUGGUCUCACUCUCUACUGCAUCGGCCGUGUGGCUCCCCUGGCUUCCCUGCACCAGGCUCUCAGCCCUUCCGAGGACACGAGAAGCCCUGCGUGCGCCACUGUGAAGCUUUCGUUCCGUGAGCGCAGUGCCACCUCAUUAACCUUUUUAGUGGUGUGGAUUUUAUACCAUCUGUGUAUGUUUGCAAAUAUUAAGUUAUUACAUGUUUUAAAAUGAGCAUUUUUCAUCCUAAAUUUUAUAUGUUUGCAAAUAUAUUUUUUUAAUAAAAUUUCAAAACCAAGUUUUAGCACCUACUAAAA
rnacentral:lncRNA from 1 species